CCAAGGCCACCAGAACCCGCUGGAACUACGUCGUGUCAGGACUGGAUAUGUACGCUCCGGACAGGCAGAAUAUCCUCUAAACACACAGACAGGUGAGUCACAGACAGAAUCUCCUCCAAACACACAGACAGACAGGAUGUUCAACUGGGUGGUAAGAGUGGUGCCCAAGCCCCCUGAUGCCCAAGAGACCCAGGCAGAAGAAGCCCCAAAGACCCCUGCCCCACAACCCAAAGUUAGGGAAGUUAAGAGCCCACCAAUCAAGCCUCAACUAACAGAAGACCAGCUUUCUGAGGACAGUCAGGGUCAGAGCGGGGUCCUGGGCUGGCUGUCCAACGGCUUCUCCAGCGCUCUCCCCAAACCCAGCGGAACCCCCGGACUCAGGAGGGCCAACUCCGACGCCCGGCCUGGGGAUGACGGAGAAAGGGCUGGGGUAAUGAGCUGGGUCACCCAGGGCCUCACUAACAUCCUCCCCCAGCCUGAUGAGAAAUACAGAGAGGCCCCCCUGAACCCCAACGAUGAGCAGACAGAGGUCCAUCCGUUACAGGAAAUGCCAGAUUACGACCCCUUGCCAGACAUCCCUGUGGUUGACGUGGUGUCAGACGACGAGAUGUCUGAGUCGGAGAAUCGGACCCCCCAGUUCGCCCCAAAAGUGGUGCAGUGGAUCAAACAGGCCAUCCCCCAGCCGGUCGUCCUACCCCCUGGCGCUGUGGCCAUAGAACCCAGGUCACCCAGGUCCGCCUGCUCCAACCGUUCUUCUCUGGACAAAGUUCUGUCUCCACCACCUGAAUCCCUGAGUGGCAUCUCCCUGGACACCGACGGCAAGCCAGGGGGGAUGAUGGGUUGGUUCAUGUCAGGGUUUGCUCUCCGGUUGCCUCAACCCUCCAUUAGGAACAAGGAAGACGUCGCUGCUGCGACGGAGGCGCUACAGAAAGCGCCACCCAAACCCAGACCAGAGAUGGUUCUGGAGGACGUCGACUCGGACCACGAGGAACCGGUCCGAGGGGGGAACCCGCCGUCCCCGGCCGGGACGCCGGAGACCCGACCAGCGGGGGGACAGGACGCCCACACCGGACCAGCGGAACCCGGUCACAGUGACGCGGACUGGACGGGGACCGGCCAGGAGGACGCCGAGACCCAGACGGGCCGCUGGACCCCCUUCAUCAACAGCAUCAAGAGGGAGGCCGAGGACGUUGCCUUGGCAACCAUGGAGGAGCGGUUGCUGCAGGAGCGUGUGCUGAUGACCCGGAUGGCGGAGGACGUGGCGCGUCAGACGGCUGAGAUGGCCGUCCGACAGAUGGCCUCCGAGGGGGGGUCCAUCAAACUGUCCCUGGGGAGCCAGGACCUGCUGGGGGAGCCUGAGCCCGAGUUGCAGGCGCUCGAAGGGGAGGAGGAAGAGGUGGAACAGAGUCUGCAUAAAACCCCAGAGAAAGUUUAUUCUCCGCCAGCAUCAUUUUUCUCAAUCCAAGUUUGUGGACGAUUUUGGGAUGUUACAAGACAGGCCCAUUCAUUUUCGGGUGAAAACCGCAGGAGUGUGACGGCGAGCAGGACCAAAACCAGCCUGAAAUCCCAGAGGAGCUUGAAGACCCAGAGGAAGCAGAGCCUGUGGGGUCGAAGCCUGUGGGACCCGAACCUGUGGAAACAGAGGAGGCUGCUGCUGAAGAAUCAGCGCCGGAGUCAGAAGAAGAGUCAGAGUCAGAGGAGGAGGAGGACUCACCCCAGCAGGACUCCUCUGGAACACAGGGUACCUCUGGACCAGAACCUGUUACAGAACAACCACAGACAGGAGAGGAAGGCGCUGACACCACUGCAGCCAAAGAUGAGGAAGCUGCUGGAGAGGGCAGCUGUGCGCCCGUCAGCUGUGAGGUCCUGAAGACCUAUCUGAUGAGCGUCCCGUGCGUGUCCGACUGCCUGGGCAACCUCGGCGCCUUCCUCAAAGAGAACGGUGUCUCCCCCACCAAGGUGGGCUCCGCGCCCGCCCAGCUGCUGUCCGACGUCACCAAGCGCCUGCCCUCCCUGCCCCCCGAGCUGCGCCAGGAGCUCUCCAGGAUCCGCCUCACCCAGGUGCCCCGCAACAUCAUCGAGACCCUCACGGAGCUCGUCCCCGCCCGCUCCGAGGGCUCCGGCGGCCUGGCGCGCUACCUCGGCCUGACGGCGGCGUCGGUGCCGUCCGUGUCGGGACUGUCCCAGAGCCUCGCCGCCGUCCCCCAGAAGGUGGCGGCCAUCCCCGCGCGGGCGCAGCAGUACUACAACAACGUCCAGAGUCGCCUCAACAGCCUCAUGCCACAAGAUGCCUAAGAAACAGAACCAGCAGCAGCAGCAGCAGCAGAAGAAGAACCCCCUCAUUAGCGACCAGGACCAGGACCUAGAGCUCAACCGGCUAGUGAGACCGACCCCCUGCCCCCACCCCUGUGCUCCCGCUCCCCCUCCC
ensembl:lncRNA